rnacentral:tRNA from 1 species
GGGAAGUUAGCUCAGUUGGUAGAGCGCCACGUUGACAUCGUGGAGGUCAUCGGUUCGAGACCGGUACUGCCCA